rnacentral:lncRNA from 1 species
GCUGUGCGAUGUUCGCCCUCAGCGUCGUGGAAAAAAAGGCAAACGAGAGGGGAUGUACUCUUUAACGUUGCUUUAUAACCAAGUUUCCCAUCCUUCUCUCUUCUAUCCCUCUUCUCUGUCUCCAAUGCCUCUUUUCUUUGGGCUUCAGGAGCCCAAAUACCCCGGGACUCGUCUCCUGGGCAACGUUACCGCUUCGUUACCGCGCGACCACAAGCGGAGUGUGCUCGGAGCCUUCUGGGAAAUGUAGUUCGGCCACCCCGGGGCCCCGGCCCAGACUAAUGGCUCUGCCUCCUCGGGCCCCAGAACCAACGGCUGGAUGUGCGGUCACGUGACCGGCCCGUCUGGAAGCCGGGGGAGUGGGGGCUGUUCUGCGCAAGGCCACCGGCAGGCCCAGGCCGCGGACGGUCGCAGAGCCGGCGCCGGCCCGUCUCCGUGGUAACCGGCUCGCCGCAGAGGCCUCUGGGAAUUCUAGUUGGGCGGGGUGGGGCCCGCGCCGCUGCCGUUAGCGCUCGCCGCCGCGGUGAGAGCGGGCGCGGUAGCCGCAGCCCGGCCCGGCCUUUGGCGGCGAGGGUUCCCAGCGUCCGGGGCGGGCUCCUCCGCGGUACCGCAGCCACCGAGCAUCCAGGCAGAAAGUUUUUGAAAUAUAAAGAAGCAUUUCUCUGAAAUUUAACCCUCCCACAGUACAAGUGACCUUCCUUGGGGACUUUUCCAGCCAAGAAUGAUCACAGCCGCGAGGGGGUCUGUAUCCUUGGACCCCCAGGCCCCUCAAAAGCAGGACAGAAUUGUGGUGGUGAAGGUGGAGGCAGAGGGCCACUUUAUCCUCGCAGCCGGGAGCUGGCCCACUCGCGCUUCAGACGGUUCUACCACCAGGAGACCAGGAGAUUUGCCACCCGGUGAGGUUCUGCGAUGUCCCCAUGAGCUCUGCCACCAGGGGCUGAGGCUGGAGAGACAUCGCAAGCUGCCCAUCCUGGAGCUGCUGAUGCUGGAGCAGUUCCUGGCCAUCCUGCCCCCGGGGCUGCAGAGCUGGGGCUGGGAGCGCCCCUGGGCCGUGGAGAGGAGCUGGCUGUGACGGACCGGAAGUUUCCUGGGGGCAGAGGGCACCUCCACCAGCGGCACAAGAACCACCACACGUCGCCAGCUUCAGCCAGUGAGACCCAGUUCAAACGCGGAUCUUGGGAGCUCCACCCCCUCCAAGCCAGUGGGGUUUUAUCUCCACAGCCACCUUUGCACAGCAAUAAUAUUUGGAUUCUCUCCGUCUGGGUUCCGAUGGUGACCUCAGGACUGAGGACGGCUUCAGCUCAGAUCAGGAACUUGCUGAAGGAAGGCCUCCCCAGUGACUCAAGCAGACUCCAGGGAAGCUCUACAGGCACCAGAGCUGGGAGGCCCGCAGAAUGUUCCAGGCCCUUGGGCCGCCUCAGGGAACCUCCCAGAGAGCAGGCCGAGCAGCCAUCCUGCCCAAGAGAGGAGUUUCAAGCAGGAGAGAGAAGAGACAAGCCAUGAAGGUGACAAGUGACAAGCCUGCAGGCCAGACUUAAAGGAAGCUCUCUGAGGAAGAACCGCGUCUUGUCCUUCAUAUGUCUGCGGCCGCUCUGAGCCUGAGAGACUCAGGACGGUCUGUGGCUUGGCCACUGUGUGCGGCUGCGGACCCUGCGAUUGAAGCAGACAGAUCUGUGGUUCAGGGCAGUCGUGGAUGGAGAUGCAGACGUAGUCUGCCUUCCCUGGACGGUUGUCGGUCCUUCUCUUCCAGGACACACGGAAGGAAGGUGAUCUUGUCCCUCCCGCCACCCCUUCCCCCGCCCCCCAGGCCGGUUGGCCAUGUUGGCCCUGAUACUCAAGGUUCUGGAUGCGUGGUCCCCCUGCCUCAGCUCUGCCUGGAGACGUUGCCAGCCCCCACGCUCUGUGCUAAUCCUGGGCGUGACCUUGGGGUGGAGGAGGCAGGGAGCAAGCAAGAAAGCAGUAUUGUUGCAGGGCCGUGUGGUUAAGUAUGGCUGGUUCAGAGAGCACCUUCAAUGUCAACUUGGCGCUCUUUGAGGGCACAGCCUAUGCCUGAGGCGUCUAUGUCCGCAUGCCUGGCUCAGCACCAGCACGUAGUAGGUACUCAUCUGGGGUGGAGCAGGAGUAUGCUUCUGUAGUCACCAGCAACCACGGGGGUCACGAGGGAGCGAAGAGAACAGAUGUUAGUGACUGGCCUGAAGUCCCGCCUGUGCCUCCCCGGCCCCUGAGGGGGACAGCAUCCCCUCGGACUAUGGUGAAGUUCUGGGGUCCAAGCAAAAACGCAGAAAAGGCCCCUUGUCUUUUGUUAGCUGCAAAAUCUCCAUCUCCCCUCAAAAAAGGGGACCGAUUCUGUGUAUGCAUUCAGUUUUCCGUAGCCUUGGAGCUCUCUAACUGUCUUUAAAAGCUAAUAGGUUAGAAAUGUUCUCGGUGGGAUGGUGAGAGCUGGUCCCUAAAGUUGGCAGUCCCCAUCAGAACUGCAUUUCCUAGGAACCCAGGGCUGCUUCUCAACAGCUGACCCUUGAACCUGGUGCAGUCAGGAGCGGGUCACUGAGCCUCAGGGAAGGAGAGUGAGGUGGGGCCCUUGCUGGCGGCCUCUUCGUCUGCUUUCCACAGGCCUCGGAGCUCACCCCGUCGUCUCUGGGCAGGAGGACAGCUGGUCCCCGGGUUUUUGUGCCCCGGCCUUGGUGGACCAUGGCUGGGAUGUCAUUUAUGGUGGGUCUCCAGAAUACCCUCUCAAAGCGCUCUCCUAAGACCAAAUUGAAUAGAAAUUAUGGAAACGGGUAGAGGAGAUCGAAAUGGAUCACCAAUUGGAGACUGUCGGGAGCAGGGGCCUGGAGGGACGGGUGGCUCUGAGCUCAGCGCCCCUAGGGAACUGGUGAAGGCUGCUCCUCAGAAGCUGUUCCAAAGGCUUCUGGGAAACUUGCUCGAGAAACUAGGUCAAGAAGGAAAGCCGUAAAGUGCUUCACGGUGUGUAAAUACACCCCCAAUCCCAUUGCCCCAUGCAGAGGACACCAGUAGAGUCCCCGUCCUGACCAGCCCAGCCAGCCUCUGUGCGCUGGCAAGCUGCUCUGCUCCCUGGGCCUCUGGCCCCGCUCACCGAGAGGCUAACACUGACCAGUGCAGCAACUAGGGGGCGUGUAGUGCUGGCUCUGCCGCGUGCUCCCGGAGCAGUAUCUCAUUUCAUCCUCCCAACAGCCCUGUGACAUGGGAGGUUUCUCUCCUCGUGGUACAAAUGAGAAGGUAAGACUCAGAGAGGUUAAAUAACUUGCCCAAGGUCAUGCAGCUAACAAGUCGAGGGGCAAGCAUUCAAGUCCAGGUCUGACCCCCCAACGCCUUUCAAAGUCCUAGUUUGCCCGUGGCAGGACUUGUAAUUCCGUGCACCGGACUAACCAGUCCACUUUCCAUCCUAUGAACUGGCCAUAGUGAAAUGGUCCUGCUUCCACACUCUCUUCUUCAGCCUGUCAGGGCCGCAGAUGGUUUCUCAGAGGCCAGGAGCGGUCAGGACGGGGCGCUCCCAUCCCUAUUAAAGCCGUGUUCAUGAGGAACGUCAGGCUUUCUGCCGGCAGCCCCUGGAAUUUCUGCUGUGGGAAUUCGGGAGAUCCUCGAGUCAUGGCCCGCUCAAGAAUCGGUGGUUGUGUCUCAAUUCUGUAAGUCAGGUAUUCGGGCAGAGCAAGGCAGGAACAAUUUAGUUCUGCUCCGCCCUGUCUGAGCCUCAGCUGGAGUGGCCCCACUGACUGUAUUUGACUGGGGCGGUUUGACUGGCCAUAGGUCAGAGGCCUUGCUUCUGUCUGCCAGCUGGAUUCCUCCCCAGUUGUCCAUGAGGUGGUCACUGAAGUGGGGCUGAAAUGUCCAAAAUAGCUUUUGCUUUCAUGUCUCUGCUGCCUCUGCGUGCUCCCGUGAAGCCCCUCUCCACAGAGUAGCCUAAUCUUACAUUGUUGCUCUGGGCUCCACAAACCCCCUAUCCAUGCUCUUCUCUCCUCUCCUCUGCACCUGUCCCAGCCCACAGCCCGUGUGUGGGGAGCUGUCUCGUUCAGCCGCCGUGGCCAUGGCUGUGUUGUACCACGCGACCCUGCUCUUUGCCCCUUCCCCCCCACCCCCACACCAGUCAUUGGACCAGGAUCCGUUACAGGCUGGCCAACGAUUUUGGAAGUCACCUGACUCGAAAAUACAAGGAAAAGCCAGUCAGACCAGCCAGAGUCCCCUUUUGGGAAGUUUGAAUCAAAAAAUCAGAGAGGAUAGGCAGUGUGUGACAAGAUGUCACGAGGGCAAGUAGGGCCUGGCUGGACCAGUGUGCUGGCCAGGAUUAAAAGAAGAUUAAAUGAAGAAGAAAGUUAGAGGUUGAAGAAAAACAAAAACAAGCUCUGACUUGGAGAGGAUACCCUUACCGGGGAGGGACCAGUGAGCCUGAUUUUGGCAAGAGGAUAGAGGAGGGAAUGACGAGGGCAGAGCUGGGACUCUGUGAGAGGCAGAGAGGGCAGUCCGCCCGGGAGGCACCCUUGUGCCCCACAGCUCACUAGGUCCAGCCUCGCCUGUGUGUGUCAUUGCAGCAGGCUCUUUACUUUGGUGUCAGUUGGCUUGCUGGUGGGCAUGUGACUUCAUUCUGCCAAUAAAACUUAUGAAGGAAUAGCUGGGGGACCUUCUAGUAAGAAUUUUGCUUUUUGAUUAAAAGAGAGAGAGUGAAGAGGCCUGUCCGUUCUUCCUGCUUUGAACGUGGAUGUUUAAGGGCAUGAUACUUGGAGCUGCAGCAGCCAUUUUGAGACCAGGAGGCAACAAGACCAAGGGAAAAACCAACAUACCGAGGUUGUCUGAGCAGACAGACAAAAAGAGCCUGGGUCCUUGAUGGUAUUGUUGAGCCACUCCACCUGUCCUGGAACCCCUAUUUCCAUUCUUAUUGAUAUAUUCGUUAAAUGUCUUUAUUUUGCAAGCAGAUUUCUGCUACAUGCAGCCUAAGGCAGUCUUAACCAGUACAGCACUCCUCUGACCUCUUCAUCCUCUAACUCUGAACAACUCCUUCGAGCCCCGUGGUUCUUGGUGUAGCUCCAAAUAGAAAGUCAGCCCAAGUUCAGACUUUGGAAAUCUUACUCAUAUGGUAGGAAAUAAAAGUCAAGAUUGCUCACAGCCAACAGAGCAAUUCUGGCACUUAGCCCUGACCCAUGGCCCCUACAGGACACAGACAAGGAAAGAAAGGUAGGUUAAGGAAAGUUCUAGAUGCAUGAGUCUUCUAAAAUGGGGCUUCAUGAUGAACUUUAGGAAGAAGAUCAGUUUGUGUAUUGGGCUCAAGGAUUCAUGUCUGAGAUGCAGAACGUAAGUACAGGCCAGAAAGCCAUGGAAAGCAUGCGGAAGGAGCCGCAGUGGCUGCCUGGAAUGGGCAGGUGGUGGGCGGGUUGGAUGACUCGUGCAGAAGGAGGCCAGUGAGCACAGCAGGAGUUUAUGAGCUCCAAGUACCAGCUGGAAGGAGUUUAUGGCAGCUAGAGUGAAACCGGUGGAAAAUGAGGCCUUUUAGUUACUCCCCAGCCAGCCUGAGUGACACUGUAGAUCCUUUUAGGAAUGAGGUGCCCUGAAUUGUGGCCGUCCUGUGUGUGGGCACGCCCAUGCUCUUCGUUCUUUGUCUCUCUUCCACCACCCCCUUUUUUUUCUGCCAUUUCUUCCUGUCUUCUCCAAGCAAAGCCAGGAGCCAGGAUCCCUUCUACCUCAAUGGGAGAGUGGAUGUCGCGGGAGGCAAGGAUGUCUUGGGAAGACUGAAUCCUAGCCUGGGCAUGGCGGUUAGGUUGGGGGAGAGAAUGCAGUCGGUUGACAAGGAGCAGAGGAAGCUUUCUUCUGACCCACCUUUCAUCAGGCAGUGUGGUUUUUGUGUUUCUUCAGCACAAAAAAAUGUACCUGAUCCUUCCCUCAUGAAAUGAGAAGUUGAACUCAAGAAUGCUAGCCCUCCCUCUUUCAGUUUCUAGCUUUAGAUACGUACCAGAGAUAAACUGGCAUCCUCCUCAGGUACCCCACAAAGACAGAUUACUCCAUUCCCUUCAGAACUCUGGAAAAGUCACCCACCCGGUUCCCAUCUCGAGAUAAUCUUCAGCGGUAUAGAGAUGGGGCCCGUAGAAGUUCAUCACAUUAAUGGGGCCCAAACAUGGAUGUGUUGCGAUGAUAUUAGAAUUUGCUGCCUCAGAUUCUGCCACUAAGCCUCAGGCCUCAGCACAGUCCUUAUGCGUACCUUAUGGAUACAGAGCCCGCGUGUCUUCUGGAGUCCUGCCCCAGAGGUCAAGACCAGGCCAACCCUUUUACCUACUACAUUACUUAAUUCAUUCAGCAGAAAUGUACUGAAUGAAUACCUAGUAGAAGUAAAAGUUAAGCUUAUCAAAGCAGUGAUAAUAUUAGGAAGAUAAGUCAUUAAAGACCAAAAAAAUCCCGUGAGAUAAUCAGAGAAAGGAACGAACGCUUUGGUUGGGAUGGAGAAAGCAAAAAGUUGAAAUCCUUAGUUUGAUAGGAUUGAUGCUUUAAUGUGGAACUUAAUAAGCCCUAAGCCCCCCGUAAAGUUUCCCCCUAUAUCACUAAGGAUUCUCUGAAAUCCAGCAAGGAAGAAACUGAAGGCUUUUCCUCAUUCUUGACAAGCAAGCUUUUUCUCCAGUGUGAAUUAGCCUGAUUACUGACUAAAUAAUCGCCCGCAAUCUUGACAACACGAGAGUCUUUCUUUCCUGAGUCCUCCCAUGAUGAGAAAGAGCUACACCAGCCCCACGUGAUUUUCCACAGUGAUUAUGCUCCCAGGCUUCUCUCCAGGCUGGAUGACCCUCCACACUUCCUCUAGAUGAUUCUCCAGCUUCAUCACAAAUGACCGGCUGAGUCCGGAGCAAAUUAGCUGACGUUGUCUGCGGGUGGGACGCUGACUGAAGGUUCCUUCUCACCCAUUGUGCUCACAGGGCUCCUCUCUGCUCUGAAAUCCCAGAUGUCUAAUUAGCUCUGAGCACUGUCUGAAAGCAUUUUUACAUCCAUUACGUGCAUAUGGUUUUUCUCCAGUGUGAAUUCUCUGACGUUGAAUGAGCUUUACUUUGCUGAAAGCCCUCACAUUUAUUGCAUUUGUAGAGUUCCUAUUGCAUGUGAAUUAGCUGCUGCCAUGUGGUGCUGGGAUGCUGGCAGAUGCCUCCCGCAAACGGGGAUUCUCUCCGAGAUGAAUGCUACAAUGUUCAGUAGGAUGGGAGCCCCGAGGAAAGCUGCCUGUAUUCAUAACAAAGAUGUUCUCUCCGAUAUGAAUACUGUAAUACUGAAUAAAUUCUCAAUUCUAAGAUUUGGCCACACUUAUCUUAUUUUUGGGUUUUCUCACUUCUAAAGAAUGUCAAUAGAAUCGCAAAUUUUUCCCCUAUUCAUCACAUUUGUGAGAUGGGGUCCCUAAUGGUUCUCUAGGAUGUCUCCAUAUUCACAGACGUCUCCAAACUCAGGGACCCGGUCAGCAUCCCACGGGGACCUUCUCCUUGUGUCCACCUAUGAUUCUACUGUUGCAGAAAGUUCCUGCUCGGGUCAGCUUGUUCUUGGUCCCAGUCUCACAAUAUGAAAUUACAGAGAACGUAAAUAUCAACCAUUCUCUUUUAAAGGACAAGAAAAUUUAUUGGACUAAGAAUGAAAGUUUUGGGGAGAAGAUUUAAAGAUAAGAGUGACUUUGGGCAAACAUAAAAUGAUGAGUGUGACAGACUGCUGGUUACUUAUAUUCGCUUUUUCUUUCUUAACCCAAUUUUGGUUGUAGUGAUGUGGAUCAAGGCUGCCCCAGGUAGAGAAGCCCAAGGUGACCUGGAUCUGUAUGACCCCAUGGAUUUUAUGGUGUGAAUUAGGGCUGCCCCAGGGAGAGAAGCCCAGGGCAUGCUGGCUUACAUGCCGAUCUAUUUGACCAGAUUCAUAUCUAAAGUUAUACGACCACACAAUAACCAGACCCCAUCUGCACUGAAACCAUUUAAUGACUUUUUACACCAUUUUUUCUUUUUCCAGUAAAAAUAAGUCACGUACCCAUGCCUUAGAAAUUUAGCCCUAACCCUCAACACAUUGCAGCAGCAGCUCUGACUGCCCAUGGGUCCUGUUCCCAUGCCAGCGGCAGCAGGAGCUCCUCUUGCCCGUGGGUCCUGUCCCCAUGCAGCAGCUCUUUACUGCCCAUGGGUCCUGUCCCCAUGCUAUUCCAUACUAUUCUCUAAAUAAAAGAGCACUACUGCC